GGGUUUCCGCCUCCUUAGUGCUGCAGCAACGCAUUAAAGCACUCCGCCUGGGGAGUACGGCCGCAAGGCUGAAACUCAAAGGAAUUGACGGGGGCCCCGCACAAGCGGUCGAGCAUGUGGUUUAAUUCGAAGCAACGCGAAGAACCUUACCAGGUCUUGACAUCCUCUGACAACUCUAGAGAUAGAGCGUUCCCCUUCGGGGGACAGAGUGACAGGUGGUGCAUGGUUGUCGUCAGCUCGUGUCGUGAGAUGUUGGGUUAAGUCCCGCAACGAGCGCAACCCUUGAUCUUAGUUGCCAGCAUUCAGUUGGGCACUCUAAGGUGACUGCCGGUGACAAACCGGAGGAAGGUGGGGAUGACGUCAAAUCAUCAUGCCCCUUAUGACCUGGGCUACACACGUGCUACAAUGGACGGUACAAAGAGUCGCGAGACCGCGAGGUGGAGCUAAUCUCAUAAAACCGUUCUCAGUUCGGAUUGUAGGCUGCAACUCGCCUACAUGAAGCCGGAAUCGCUAGUAAUCGCGGAUCAGCAUGCCGCGGUGAAUACGUUCCCGGGCCUUGUACACACCGCCCGU
rnacentral:rRNA from 1 species